UAAGGAAUAUUGGUCAAUGGACGCAAGUCUGAACCAGCCAUGCCGCGUGGAGGAUUAAGGCCCUCUGGGUUGUAAACUCCUUUUAUCUGGGAAGAAAUGUACUUUUUCUUGAGUACUUGACGGUACCAGAGGAAUACGCACCGGCUAACUCCGUGCCAGCAGCCGCGGUAAUACGGAGGGUGCAAGCGUUAUCCGGAUUCACUGGGUGUAAAGGGCGCGCAGGCGGGAUAAAAAGUCAGUGGUGAAAUCCUACAGCUUAACUGUAGAACUGCCUUUGAUACUUUUAUUCUUGAGUUCGGGAGAGAGCGACGGAAUUCCGGGUGUAGUGGUGAAAUACGUAGAUAUCUGGAAGAACACCAGUUGCGAAGGCGGUCUCUUGGUCCGACACUGACGCUGAGGCGCGAAAGCGUGGGGAGCAAACA
rnacentral:rRNA from 1 species